CAUUAUGAAGCUAGUAAGCGUUAACCUUUUAAGUUAAAGACUAGGAAUACAUUUCCUCAUAAUGA
rnacentral:tRNA from 1 species